rfam:Dipodomys ordii contig_22705, whole genome shotgun sequence.
GGGGAGGUGGCUCAGUGGUAGAGUGCUUGCCUCAUGUACAUGGGGUCCUGGGUUCGAUUCCUCAGCUCUACCU